CCAGCACCUGCGGUAAUUCCAGCUCCAAUAGCGUAUAUUAAUGUUGUUGCAGUUAGAAAGCUCGUAGUUGAAUUUCUGGCUAGUCUUAUAGCUGGCCUCGGUCGUUAUAAGGCUAGUCAUCCGUUAGAGAACCAUGGCCGUCCUUAACUGGUCACCAUGGAGAUCUAACAUUUUACUUUGAAAAAAUUAGAGUGUUCAAGGCAGGCAAUCGUCAUGAAUACUAUAGCAUAGAAUAAUGGAAUAGGACUUUGGUUCAUUUUAUUGGUUAUUGAACCUUAGUAAUGAUUAACAGGGACAGUUGGGGGCAUUAGUAUUUAAUUGUCAGAGGUGAAAUUCUUGGAUUUAUUAAAGACUAACUUAUGCGAAAGCAUUUGCCAAGGAUGUUUUCAUUAAUCAAGAACGAAAGU
rnacentral:rRNA from 1 species